GAUGAACGCUGGCGGCGUGCCUAAUACAUGCAAGUCGAGCGAACGGACGAGAAGCUUGCUUCUCUGAUGCUAGCGGCGGACGGGUGAGUAACACGUGGAUAACCUACCUAUAAGACUGGGAUAACUUCGGGAAACCGGAGCUAAUACCGGAUAAUAUUUUGAACCGCAUGGUUCAAAAGUAAAAGACGGUCUUGCUGCCACUUAUAGAUGGAUCCGCGCUGCAUUAGCUAGUUGGUAAGGUAACGGCUUACCAAGGCAACGAUGCAUAGCCGACCUGAGAGGGUGAUCGGCCACACUGGAACUGAGACACGGUCCAGACUCCUACGGGAGGCAGCAGUAGGGAAUCUUCCGCAAUGGGCGAAAGCCUGACGGAGCAACGCCGCGUGAGUGAUGAAGGUCUUCGGAUCGUAAAACUCUGUUAUUAGGGAAGAACAUAUGUGUAAGUAACUGUGCACAUCUUGACGGUACCUAAUCAGAAAGCCACGGCUAACUACGUG
rnacentral:rRNA from 1 species